GAUGAACGCUGGCGGCGUGCCUAAUACAUGCAAGUCGAGCGAACGGACGAGAAGCUUGCUUCUCUGAUGUUAGCGGCGGACGGGUGAGUAACACGUGGAUAACCUACCUAUAAGACUGGGAUAACUUCGGGAAACCGUAGCUAAUACCGGAUAAUAUUUUGAACCGCAUGGUUCAAAAGUGAAAGACGGUCUUGCUGUCACUUAUCGAUGGAUCCGCGCUGCAUUAGCUAGUUGGUAAGGUAACGGCUUACCAAGGCAACGAUGCAUAGCCGACCUGAGAGGGUGAUAGGCGACACUGGAACGGAGACACGGUCCAGACUCCUAAGGGAGGCAGCAGUAGGGAAUCGUCCGCAAUGGGCGAAAGCCUGACGGAGCAACGCCGCGUGAGUGAUGAAGGUCUUCGGAUCGUAAAACUCUGUUAUUAGGGAAGAACAUAUGUGGAAGUAACUGUGCACAUCGUGACGGUACCUAAUCAGAAAGCCACGGCUAACUACGUG
rnacentral:rRNA from 1 species